rnacentral:rRNA from 1 species
GCCGAUGCUUUAGAGAUAAAGACGGAGGUAUUCGGGGUAGGACAGGUGGUGCAUGGUUGUCGUCAGCUCGUGUCGUGAGAUGUUGGGUUAAGUCCCGCAACGAGCGCAACCCCUACUUGCUAGUUACCAUCAUUAAGUUGGGGACUCUAGCGAGACUGCCAGUGAUAAACUGGAGGAAGGUGGGGAUGACGUCAAAUCAUCAUGCCCCUUAUGACCUGGGCUACAAACGUGAUACAAUGGCUGGAACAAAGGGAUGCGAAGCAGUGAUGUGGAGCGAAACCCAUAAAAACAGUCUCAGUUCGGAUUGAAGUCUGCAACUCGACUUCAUGAAGUCGGAAUCGCUAGUAAUCGCGGAUCAGAACGCCGCGGUGAAUACGUUCUCGGGGUUU